rnacentral:rRNA from 1 species
UACGUAGGGUGCAAGCGUUAUCCGGAAUUAUUGGGCGUAAAGAGCUCGUAGGCGGUUUGUCACGUCUGCUGUGAAAACUGGAGGCUCAACCCCCCAGCCUGCAGUGGGUACGGGCAGACUAGAGUGCGGUAGGGGAGAUUGGAAUUCCUGGUGUAGCGGUGGAAUGCGCAGAUAUCAGGAGGAACACCGGUGGCGAAGGCGGGUCUCUGGGCCGAUGACUGACGCUGGAGGAGCGAAAGCGUGGGGAGCGAACAGG